UACGGGGGGUGCGAGCGUUGUCCGGAAUCACUGGGCGUAAAGGGCGCGUAGGUGGUCUGAUAAGGGUGUGGUGAAAGCCCGGGGCUCAACCCCGGGUCGGCCGUGCCGACUGUUAGGCUAGAGUGCUGUAGGGGCAGGCGGAAUUCCGGGUGUAGCGGUGGAAUGCGUAGAGAUCCGGAGGAAGACCGGUGGCGAAGGCGGCCUGCUGGGCAGUUACUGACACUGAGGCGCGACAGCGUGGGGAGCAAACAGG
rnacentral:rRNA from 1 species